rnacentral:lncRNA from 1 species
AGCAAUCUCUGCCUAUUCUCUCUCUCUUUGGUUCAGUGGAAGCAAACGGUGGCAGUUUCACUGGUGUCGCAUCUCAUGCUGCAAAUGGAGGACCUGGUGGUGGUUCUGGGGGCACAAUUCUUCUAUUUGUGCGGACUUUAUCCUUAGAGAACAACUCUGUACUUUCUAGUGUUGGUGGGGUUGGAAGCAAUGGUAGUGGUGGAGGUGGAGGUGGUCGCAUUCACUUCCACUGGUCCGACAUUCCCACUGGAGAUGACUAUGUUCCUUUUGCAACUGUCAAAGGAUCAAUA